GUGUGUCAGCUGAUUGCAUUAAUUAGGCUGGUGACUGGCCACAGGCUUACACACCUCUUGUGAAAUAAAAUAAACAGUCAAUGCUGUCAGCGUCAUGAAAACAACAUCAUUUCCUUAGAGCCGUUUAGACCAUUGUUUAAGGUGAAUGUCAUUUCCAUUAGGUUAAAAAGGAACUGGAUGACUGUAGGACCUUCAUAGUUAAGUGACCUCAGUUAUCCAACAGCAAGUUUAUUUUUACCAGAUGAUUGAAUUCAUGACAAGAUGGGACAAUCAUGAAGAUGAGAUCCACUCAGAGCUAGAAAUAUUAACUUCACCAGCUUCGUAUAGGAGAAACAGUAUCGAGCCAAAAAGACAUUUGCCUCAUUAAAAACUUCAUUGCAUGGAUUCCCAAAAAAGGCUCAAUGACAUGGCUUAGAACGUGUCAAAACAAUGGAGGCAUUGUUGGUGUUAUUCGUCGUUAAAUCUGUGCGUUUCCUGUUGCAAAAUGUCUGAUUACACUGACCUCAAUACACAGAAUCACUUCAGAAAAGGUGAAGGAUUUGGCUGCAGCACAGACAUUACCUGAGAAGCUUCAAAUCAUGCCCUUUAACGAUGAGAAACUACCCACAAUGCUCGCCGUGGCUGGAGAAUGGAGGCCGUCUUUGUCCAGGGCUGUGGCAGUCUUCUGUACUUCCUCUGCAGCCGCACUCGAAGCCAUUAUUGUACUUAACGACUGCAACGAAAUCCUUCUGAACAUUGCACUCGGUUUUACCAACAGUUUAGUGUUUUGCCUGUCAACCAUGCUGAGGCUGAAUGCGUUUCUCAGGCUAACGCUGGCAGGUGUGCUCCUCUCACACGAGGAGCCUGACCAACAUGGACACUCGCUCUGCUUCCCCUGGUCUUCAUCACAGACCUUCACAACGAACAGCUGCACUCCUCUGCGCUGCGGAGGAGGCAGACCUGCAAACAGGUUAAAGUCGGUCCGGUCACUAUUGCUCGCCGUGCCUGCCGUCUGCCGCUGUUCACUGUCUGUUUGCAAGACGAUCUUGACCCUCAUCAAUGUGGCACAGUCGGCCCUGUCAGCUCUGUGCCGGAACUCCAGAAACGGUGUCUCCACCAUUAUGACUCUAGGUGGAUGCAUCAGAACAUUAGUGUCCACCUUACAGACAGUGACUGGUUACUCUACACAGGUACUUGGAAUUGUUUGGGAUGUGUCAUCGCUUAUAAGCAGCCCCUGAACUCUUUGUAUAUAAUGUACAUAAUCUAGAUAAACUUGUAAAAUUAUUCCAAAUGUACAUCUGACUAUUUCUAUUACCUGCUUAUAAGUAGUGAAAUAUUUGCUGUAUUUCUAUUGCUUUUAAAAUUCUAAUAAAAGUGCAAUAUUUGCUGUA